rnacentral:rRNA from 1 species
GCUUGUCUCAAAGAUUAAGCCAUGCAUGUCUAAGUAUAAGCCUUUAUAUGGUGAGACUGCGAAUGGCUCAUUAAAUCAGAAACUGUUUAUUUGAUAGUGCCUACUACAUGGAUACCUGUAGUAAUUCUAGAGCUAAUACAUGCAAAAAGCUCUGACCGUAUGGGAAGAGCGCUUUUAUUAGACCAAAACCAAUGGGGUCGAAAGACUCCUUUGUUUGGUGACUCUGGAUAACUUUGUGCUGAUCGCAUGGCCUAGAGCCGGCGACGUAUCUUUCAAAUGUCUGACCUAUCAACUUUCGAUGGUAAGCGAUUUGCCUACCAUGGUUGUAACGGGUAACGGGGAAUCAGGGUUCGAUUCCGGAGAGGGAGCAUGAGAAAUGGCUACCACAUCUACGGAAGGCAGCAGG